CUGUGACCUCAGGCCACAAUUGUAAGGUGUUUUGGAAAGUUUGGAGCUGUAUUCAUAGCUCUUGCAAGACAGGCAGGAGACGCUUUAAUUAAAGUAAGAGCAACAAUGGGAAAGUAUUUUGGAAAAGGGCCAGGGAGCCUGAUACAGAAGUGAGGGUGGGAUAAGAAUUAUCUAAGAGGAUUCUUCAAUCACAUGCUUGUCUUUGAAAAGAAGGGAAUUGCUAAAUGCUGACUAAAGUGACUGUACAAUUUGACUUUCGUUUUUGUAGCUCAAUUGGGAGAAUAUUUGCCCAGCACACGUGAAGUCAUGGAUUCAAUCCCUAGCUCUGCAUGCAACAGGAAAAAAAAGCCCCCAGAGAAAACAGCACGAAACCACACCUGAUCCCACACGGAGGCUUGCCAGAGCCCAAACAGGACCGCGUUGGUUUGGUCCUUGGAAAGGUUCGAGGUCCCAAAGCAACGUUAUUUAUGCCGGCUGCAACCCUUGCCACGAAGCCUUGAGGCAUCCCAAUUACUAAUUCAACGGCGGGGAGCUGAAGCAAUCCGGUGAUUUUCCAUCAAUAAGAUGGUUUCCAUCAGCAAAACCCCAUGGGGAAUGAUAGGGCUACUCGGUGACU
rnacentral:lncRNA from 1 species